ACAUCGGGAUUGUAAAAACCGCCGCGGCAAUUUCAGCUCCAAUAGCGUAUAUUAAAGUUACCGGUUGCAGUUAAAAAGCUCGUAGUUGACAGUUUGAUCUCGGACGCUGGGUCAUGCUUCUAUUGCAUGUACUUGGCGGACCGAGACUUCCUUCCUGGUUAACGGCCGCCUUCGGGUGACCCGGAACCAGGACCAUUACUUUGAAAAAAUUAGACGUGUUCACAAGCUGGCCCUAUGUCCGGAUAUAUUAGCAUGGAAUAACAGAAUCGGACGUGCGGUUCUAUUUUGUUGGUUUCUAGAACUGCCGUAAUGAUUAAAAGGGACAGCCGGGGGCAUAACUCUUUGCACGCCAGAGGUGAAAUUCCGGGAUUGUGCACAGACUUGCUACACUGACAGAUUUGACAACGAAUGUUUCCCCUUGUCAAGAACGAAAGCUAGGGUAUCGAAAACGUUGUAGAAACUUUGUCGUGCUGGGGAUGGAGCUUUGCUAAUUUCACUUGCUCGAUCAACGAGGAAUCUCCUGAGUAAGGUCGCAAGUCAUCAGCUUAAAGAAAUUGACUGAACGUCCCUGCCCUUUGUACACACCUAGCCCAGUC
rnacentral:rRNA from 1 species